CGCUGACGAGUGGCGGACGGGUGAGUAAUGUCUGGGAAACUGCCUGAUGGAGGGGGAGUAACGUACUGGAAACGGUAGCUAAUACCGCAUAACGUCGCAAGACCAAAGAGGGGGACCUUCGGGCCUCUUGCCAUCAGAUGUGCCCAGAUGGGAUUAGCUAGUUGGUGGGGUAACGGCUCACCAAGGCGACGAUCCCUAGCUGGUCUGAGAGGAUGACCAGCCACACUGGAACUGAGACACGGUCCAGACUCCUACGGGAGGCAGCAGUGGGGAAUAUUGCACAAUGGGCGCAAGCCUGAUGCAGCCAUGCCGCGUGUAAUGAAGAAGGCCUUCGGGUUGUAAAGUACUUUCAGCGGGGAGGAAGGUGUUGUGGUUAAUAACCGCAGCAAUUGACGUUACCCGCAGAAGAAGCACCGGCUAACUCCGUGCCAGCAGCAGC
rnacentral:rRNA from 1 species